UAGCAUAAUCAUUUGUUUUUUAAUUGAGAGCUGGAAUGAAAGGUUAAACAAAGAGGAUUGUCUUUUAGCUGGUUUAGUAACUUGUAUUUAAAGUAAAAAUACUUUAGUUAUAUUGAGGGACGAUAAGACCCUAAAAGUUUUAUUUAGGUGAAUUAUUUGGGGUUAAGGUCGGACAAGAAAUUAGCUGGGGUAGCUUGUUUAAUAAAACUAGUGUUUUAAAGGACUUUUUGGUUUUUGGUCCUUAAGAUUAGGAUAAAUAGAAUAAAUUACUUUAGGGAUAACAGCGUUAUAAUUUUAGAAAGAUCUUAUUAGUAAAAUUGAUUGCGACCUCGAUGUUGAAUUAAAAGAGCUUUAUGGGGCAGCGGCUAUUUAAGCAGGUUUGUUCAACCUUUAUAAUUUUACAUGAUUU
rnacentral:rRNA from 1 species